rnacentral:rRNA from 1 species
AUUGCACGCUGGCGGUAGGCUUAACACAUGCAAGUUGAACGAUUGGCGGACGGGUGCGUAAUGCUUGGGAAUCUGGCUUAUGGAGGGGGAUAACUACGGGAAACUGUCGCUAAUACCGCGUACCACAGGAUGAGCCCAAGUGGGAUUAGGUAGGUGGUGAGGUAAAGGCUCACCAAGCCGACGAUCUCUAGCUGGUCUGAGAGGGUGACCAGCCACACUGGGACUGAGACACGGCCCAGACUCCUACGGGAGGCAGCAGUGGGGAAUAUUGCGCAAUGGGGGCAACCUGACGCAGCCAUGCCGCGUGAAUGAAGAAGGCCUUCGGGUUGUAAAGUUCUUUCGGUAGCGAGGCGUUGACUACAGAAGAAGCACCGGCUAACUCCGUGCCAGCAGCCGCGGUAAUUC